AGCUGUCCAAUGGUAGUGGGUUAUCAGAACUUACUAACAUUAGUGUUACUAAAGUUGGUAUACAACCCCCCACGGCUAUAUUUGACUGGCUUUUA
ensembl:Y_RNA Y_RNA Y RNA